rnacentral:rRNA from 1 species
CCUACGGGAGGCAGCAGUGGGGAAUAUUGGGCAAUGGGCGCAAGCCUGACCCAGCAACGCCGCGUGAAGGAAGAAGGCUUUCGGGUUGUAAACUUCUUUUGACAGGGAAGAGCAGAAGACGGUACCUGUCGAAUAAGCCACGGCUAACUACGUGCCAGCAGCCGCGGUAAUACGUAGGUGGCAAGCGUUGUCCGGAUUUACUGGGUGUAAAGGGCGUGUAGCCGGGCUGACAAGUCAGAUGUGAAAUCCGGGGGCUCAACCCCCGAACUGCAUUUGAAACUGUUGGUCUUGAGUAUCGGAGAGGCAGGCGGAAUUCCUAGUGUAGCGGUGAAAUGCGUAAAUAUAUGUAAGAACACCAGUGGCGAAGGCGGCUUGCUGGGUCGAUACUGACAUUGAGGCACGAAAGCGUGGGGAGCAAACAGGAUUAGAUACCCCUGUAGUC